UUUUUUUUUCCCUGCCUUGUAAUUAGAAGUGGUUACAUUCCUGUUCUGAAGGAUGAGAAGGAUGAGUCGUGGCAUUGUCAGCUCUGAAACAAGAUGAACUCAGAAAGGGCAACUUGAAGACUGACAGUGUUCUGGGUUUGAAGUUUCUGAACUUGCAAACACUUUUCCUGUUAAUUUCACACCUACAAACUUAAAUACAGUUGUGUGUUGCUUAGCAAUGGGGACAUGCUCUGAGAAAUGUGUCCUUAGGUGGUUGUAUCCUUGUGCAAACAUAACAGAGUGCAUUUACACACACCUGGAUGGCACAGCCCAACACACACCUGGAUGGCACAGCCCAACACACACCUGGAUGGCACAGCCCAACACAAACCUGGGCUGCGUGGUGUAGCCCAUUGCACCUAGGUUGCAAACCUAGUAGCUAAAUACUGUUCCAAACACUGUAGGCAGUAGUAACACAACGAUAUUUGUGUAUCUAAACAUAGAAAAGGUAUAGUAAAAACAGAGUAUAAACUUAAAAAAAAAGAGUGCACCGGUACAAGACACACUUACCACGAAUGGAGUAAGCUGCUCUGGGUGACUGAUGAGUGAGUGAUGAGUGAGGGUGAAGGCCUUGGACAUGGCUGUGCACUACUCUGGACUCUCUCAACACUAUACACUUAGGCUGCAAGAAACUUGAAAUAUUUCUUUCUUCAAUAAGAAAAGCUAAACUUAGCUUACUGUGUAACUUUUUAACUUUAUAAUUUUUUUAACCUUUGGGUCCUUGUCCAAAAGGGUCCAAACACCUAGCUUAAAAUACCAACAUGUUGUACAGUUGUACAAAAAUAUUUUCUUUCUUUAUAUUCUUAUUCUAUAAGCUUUUUCUCUAUUUGUAAAUGUUUUUGUUAAAAACAAAGACACACACACACAUUAGCUUAGGCCUACACAGGGUCAGGAUGAUCCGUAUCACUGUCCCCCACCUCCACCUCUUGUCCCACUAGAAGGUCUUCAGGGACAAUGACACGCAUGGAGCUGUCAUCUCCUGUGACAGUUAUACGUUCUUCUGGAUACCUCCUGGGGCU
rnacentral:lncRNA from 1 species